rnacentral:snoRNA from 1 species
GACACAGAAAAGUGCAAAAAACAAAUCCUCUUUUGCAACCCAAAACUCAUUGUUUAGUAUGAGUUUUGAUACAUAAAGAAGAAAUAUU